rnacentral:rRNA from 1 species
UACGUAGGGGGCGAGCGUUGUCCGGAAUUAUUGGGUGUAAAGGGCGUGUAGGCGGUGGUGUAGGUUAUCGGUAAAAACCCAAAGCUCAACUUUGGGCUUGCCGAUAAAACCCCCAUCACUUGAGUGCAGGAGAGGAAAGUGGAAUUCCCGGAGUAGCGGUGAAAUGCGUAGAUACCGGGAGGAACACCAGUGGCGAAGGCGACUUUCUGGCCUGCUACUGACGCUGAGGCGCGAAAGCUGGGGGAGCGAACGGG